rnacentral:rRNA from 1 species
AUUGAACGCUGGCGGCAUGCCUUACACAUGCAAGUCGAACGGCAGCAUAGGAGCUUGCUCCUGAUGGCGAGUGGCGAACGGGUGAGUAAUAUAUCGGAACGUGCCCUAGAGUGGGGGAUAACUAGUCGAAGGACUAGCUAAUACCGCAUACGAUCUACGGAUGAAAGUGGGGGAUCGGAAGAACUCAUGCUCCUGGAGAGGCAGAUAUCUGAUUAGGUAGUUGGUGGGGUAAAAGCUCACCAAGGCGACGAGCAGUAGCUGGUCUGAGAGGACGACCAGACACACUGGGACUGAGACACGGCCCAGACUCCUACGGGAGGCAGCAGUGGGGAAUUUUGGACAAUGGGGGCAACCCUGAUCCAGCAAUGCCGCGUGAGUGAAGAAGGCCUUCGGGUUGUAAAGCUCUUUUGUCAGGGAAGAAACGGUUCUGGAUAAUACCUGGGACUAAUGACGGUACCUGAAGAAUAAGCACCGGCUAACUACGUGCCAGCAGCCGCAGUAA